rnacentral:rRNA from 1 species
GAUAAACGCUGGCGGCGUGCCUAAUGCAUGCAAGUCGCACGGGGGUGUCCCUUCGGGGGCGAUCGAGUGGCGAACGGGUGAGGAACGCGUGGACAACCUACCCCGGCGUGGGGGAGUACCCGCCAGAAAUGCGGCGUAAUACCGCGUACGGUCCAUGGGCGGAGGGCUCGUGGAAGAAAGCAGCGAUGCGCGCUGGGAGGGGUCUGCGGCCGAUUAGCUUGUUGGCGGGGUGACGGCCCACCAAGGCGAUGAUCGGUAGCUGGUCUGAGAGGAUGAUCAGCCACACGGGGACUGAGACACGGCCCCGACUCCUACGGGAGGGCAGCAGCAAGGAAAGUUUUCCGUCAAUGGGGGCGAACCCUGACGGAGCAACGCCGCGUGACGGA